rnacentral:misc_RNA from 1 species
GUUUGUCCUCACAGGGUGUACUCUCGACUUGAUCAACGUUCAGCACAGAAGACAAGUCAGUCGGCUUGGCAGUCUUUGUGUGAUCGGUGGACACUAUUACUUUAUUCUUUCAUGAGAUAAAGUGACGGAGGCUGCAUGUUGUCAGGAUUUCUUUAAGUACAACACCAAUAAAGCAAGGAUCACAUUUGUGUAAUGCAAGAGUUGAAGGAUGUGGUACAUGAUUAUAGAUGACGAGCCUGAGGCAUAAGAUCCUGUGACUAAGCGAAAAACCAUCAGCAUGGCCUCACGGGUGACCUUUGUUAGUGGGACGGCUGAAGUCAAACGGAGAGAGCAUCAUGACAAUGGUUUUGAACAGAACCUGGAGCUGUCGGUGCAGCCCAAAGUGGUCAUGGUGGACGGGAAGUGCACGUGCUGUCCAUACGGCUAUCACAUAGACCUCGACUUCCUGCGUUACUGUGAGGCCAUGUCCAGUGGCGGGACCCUCAAACAGCUGAAGCGGAUCCAGAGGUCGAAGAGAAAGCUGAGAAAAUCCAUGGAGAUCAUGCUCCAGCAGCAAGGACAGCUCACGGAGGAUGGGGGAACACCCCCGCCAGAUGUUGUGCACUCAACCGAGGCAAGCCGGUUGAUGAAUAUGGUGGAGUAUGAGCAGUCGUCGACUCAUAAGAUAUUGGAUGACAUCGACUCAAAUGUUGAUGCAACAAUAGCUUCCAUUGACUACAUGAUGACUUCGGCAAAGAAAUCACGUAAUAUCAGCUCGGACAGUGAUGAUAGUCCGCUGAGUCCGAAUAUCCCGCGUUACAGUACAUUCCCGCUGAACCAGACUCCCAACGGAGAUGAGUCGUCUCACCUGGCCACCUCUCUCUCGACAUCGGGUCGGAGCGACUCGAUGAGUUCCUUGUCUUCUGUGUCUACCGUUUCGAGUGAGAAUCCACAAGGAACGUUGAUGUCGCAUGGUCAAAUCGGCAGGCAGACUGUCACGACAACGGCCACAGCUGAGGUUUUCGGUUCUACCACCAAGUAUCACACAGUGACGUCGGCUCAGAUUGCCGCAACGCUGGCGACACACAUGCCACAGCAGACAGAGGGCAACACCUCCCCUCACGGCUCGACGACAAACAUCAGUAAGACAUCACUGCAUGCCAUCCGGGAGGCCAUGGCCAUGAGUCUACAGCGAAUGAGGGAGCUGGAGGAACAGGUGAAGGCUAUUCCGAUUCUGCAAGUACGGAUUUCCGUCCUCAAGGAAGAGAAACGUCUCCUCAUGUUGCAGCAUAGAGCCAAGAGUAGCGCACUGAAGCCAAACACCAGAUCCAUUGGGACGGGGCAAGACCUGGUGCUGCCACCAUUCUCAGACAAAAUGACUGCCAUGGAAAAGAUGUCUUUCACCACCAUGACCUUGCCAACGCCAAGAACUUUCGAGUUCCCCAGCAAUAUUUCUCCCAGGUCGACUUCGACACCACGCGUGCCUGAUCUUAAGUCUCCGCCCCCAACCAUGCCGAAACCAAAAGUGCGUAAUGCUGGCGUCGGUGAUCACAGCGUCAUUGAGCCUUACCUCCUGCAGGCUCACCUUCCCACGGGGUUCACCAUCACCGAAAAUGAAGUCCACAAUGAAAUCCGCUCCAGCACGUUUGAACGGGAGACUCUGAUUCUUAACCGAUCUCGUUUACAGAGCCAGAGCGAUCGGAUCGAAGAGCAGCUGCCAGUCCAGCCCCAGACUCACAUCACGAUCAACCAGAUCCAGCGAGGUGGUCCUAAGGCUCUCACUCGAAGCAUCGGCAUCGGGGACGGCAAUGUGUUUGACACGGGACUACAGAUCCACGAGAAGGAGCUGAGGACAGUGAUUAUCGGCCAGUCCGGGCAGGUUGGGAAGAGAAACGUCGGGAUAGAAUGUCGCCCGGCCACCAGGGAUGUCGGAAUUCAUUUCUGCUGCGACGAUGAAAAGCCGUCAACGAGGACGGUAGGCGUCAAUGUUAACACCAGCAGCCUGAUAACCUCGCUGAACUUCAAGGGCGAGGAGCUGAGAAUUGCCUUGCAGGAUGUCCUUCACAAGAAUGUGCGCUCCACUGGAACCAACUGUAAUUUCAGACCCCUUAUGAAUGAUGCCAGUACCAUGUAUCAGAAAGUACAGUACGUCACUGUUGGAGUUGGCGAGGAAUGCCGCACCGAUGUCGAUAUUCGUCCUCACAUGGCAAAGAAAUCUGUCGGAAUUAACGUUCGUCCAGAGAUGAACAACCGGUCUAUGAACACCGAAAAGGGUUGGUUGUUAGACCAGAGCACCAACACACCUGUGUCGGAGAAACGGGCGAAAGCGACAAUGACGGAGAAGCCACGUCAGCUGUCGAGUUCGACAUUCAUGGAAAAAACUCUGAUUCGCAAUACCAGCUCUCAGACCGACGUGAGAACUUUCCUGGCAACCGACCAGCUUAAAAACGUCGGCUGUAACACAGUGAAGAAGUAUAUGCAAAGCACAGGGGUCAACACUGAUGUGAAACGUCUCGUGAAUGAGAACUUUGACUUUGCGGUCACUUUUAAAGACGGAUCGUCUAACACAAUGUUCAGUGUGGCAGACAAGAGUGUGAAUACAGACAAAAACAGAUACUCAGAUCAGAAAACUGUGAAAACAAAAACUGUUGGCGUCAGUAAUGACCGAACUGAUUCUUUUGUAUGUUCGUUUGAUGGGAUCGACAGAUCCUCACAAACAAAAGAACUGUCGGGACAAGAUCAGUUUUCAAGUGAAACUGUUACUGUGGAAACUGUGCAGAAAAUUGUUUCUGAUGUGACUGCGCAGAACCGUUUGUCCAGUGACGCUUACAUGGGUGUGGACAUGAGCCAGUUUAUGAGUGGUAAAGCUGUCACAUCGGGUUUGAAAGCCAGAAAGAGUGGUGCUCGCAACAGUGGCGAGUUCAAAAGAGACAGUGGUGAGUUCAAGAGAAAUAGCGGAGAACUAAAGAGAAGUAACAGUGGGGGUGAAGAAUAUCAAUUCAUAGAGGAAACCUUUGUCAUCCGUGGUGACGUGGAUAAUAUCCAGAGUGGAGAUAUACAAGUGGAGAAGAUAAAAAGUUCCCAGCAGGUUGUCAUUGGCAGUAGUGGGUCCAAGACUUCCAAGCUGCCUGUUUUGAGUGGAGGAUCCUUGGAGGAAAAGAAGACAUUCCAGCAAAGGGAAACAGAUGCUAAAAGAACUGAGGACUUAAGCCAGACGGGCAUGCGACGAAGCAGUGGAGAAGGCUCCAGCACAGAAUUUGGAUCAUUUCAGACCAAGGUUGUUGAAGAAAGGGUCAUGAUGAAAACCGACGGUGAUGGUUACUCUCAGAGUCAACGCAGUGUGUAUUCAUCCGGAGAUGGAGAUCAGCAGACAUUCCUUAGUGGGAAAUACUCCACAAUCAGCAAUCUGGACAGACUCUCCAGUAUACAGACGGAGGGCAGUAGUGUCGACAGCAGUAUGCAUUCCAUGACUAGCAGUGGAGGGUCUGGAGGAUACGGCUCUUCUUACUCCAGCACACUCGGUAACAGUGGUGUCGGACAAAUCACGGAUGUGGAUCGCAGCAGGUACUCCACGACCACCAACAGUGGAGGUAACAUUUACUGGUAUCCUGUGGACAGCCUCAAUGGUGAGAUCACAGGACCUGCUAUCACCCAGGUUCAUAGCAGACAUUUUGAAGGUGUUACAGACAGUGGUACGUCCACAAACCAGUCAAGUGGUGAAGGAUCUGGACUAAGAUCAGAAGGUGGUGUUCGAACGCGACUAGAGGAAGAAAGCAUUAUUCGCAGAGGCGUGAAUUCAUUGCAGACCAUUUCUGACAGUUCGGCUUUUAGCCAUUCUAGCAGUCUGCAGGAUCAGUCGGACAUGUCUGGUUCAAGUGCUGUGAAAUCCAUUGAGGUUAGUGAAAAAGUAGUAAGUUCUGAAGGUAUUGGUAACUUACAGAGAAGUGAAGGAUUUUUGGUGAUCAGUUCCCAUGGUUCAGACUCUCUGUUCAAAGAACUAGAGAAUCAAGUACUCAUAGGUGCGUCUAGAACCGUUGUAGGUUCGGAACACCCAGCUGUUGAAGGCACUGUCCGUGAGGAAAAAUCUGUUACCAAGACGACCGAUGGACAUACUGUUACCACGGUGAUAAAACGUACCGUUCGAAAUGGCGAAACCGAGGAAACCAAAACCAUUUCAGAAUCCGAUAUUGGAUCUUCAGCCUUGGUCACCGAAAGCCCAUCUAUUGGCUUGGACAUGUCCAUUGACAGUGUGGACAUAGGGAAACUGGACAGAGCUUCCCUGCUGAAAUCGGAACUCAGCCAACUGGCUGGAGAGAUGAGGGAGAAAAAGAUGUCCAAGAAACACCAAGGAGAUUACUCGGAGAGUCACGUGACCAGCAGUUCCUAUGACGACGACGACGCUGGUUUCGAAGGCGAUGAUCUUGAGUUUUCCGCUAGUCGUAAGGAGUACUUUAGCUCGAUAGAUGGAGGAUCUUUAAAGUCUUGUAUGAAGAGGAGCAAAUCGGAUGAGCUUUCCAUGAAAAAGGGCAUUUCCUUUGCUGCCACAGUGGUGGGAGGAACCAAUUCUAGCUCGUCAGAGGCCACAUCUACGAGUGAGUCCGACGGCGAAACCGACAGCUACGAGGAAGGCUCGUAUGAUGGCCGCCAUGGCAACAUUGUCUAUCAGUGCAAAGAUGAUGAAGCUAUUGCACAGGGCAUUCCCGGGGCAAAGAUGUUUGACCAGAACAUCCGAGAAACGUACGAGCUGAAUUCUGAAAUACAGACUGCUUGUGAAGUGCUAGCACAGUACUUGAUUGAUUCAACCACAAUUCAAACUAAAGAACUGAAUGCGAGCGUGAACGUGAUUCAGCAGGAGUGGUUCAGGAUCACCAACAACAAGCUGGUGGACCCGCACCAGGUGGAGGACUACAUCUCCUCCUUCAACGAGAUCUCCAAGAAACUCAUGGAGCACAUCGUCAACAUGGCUGACGCCAAUGGUAACACUGCCCUGCACUAUUCGGUUUCGAACUGUAAUUUCGAGGUGGUCGGGCUGCUGCUGGACACGGGCAUCUGUGACCUGAACAAGCAGAACAAGGGCGGCUACACGGCCAUCAUGCUGGCCGCGCUGGCCAGUAUACAGACCAACAGCCAGGAGGAGGUCGUGUGUCGGCUCUUCGCUGAGGGAGAUGUCAACAUCAGAGCGGUGCAGACUGGCCAAACUGCGAUGAUGCUGGCCGUGAGUCAUGGGCGACCCAACAUGGUGAAGUUGCUGCUUGAGAACGGCGCUACGAUUAACGAGCAGGAUGACGAUGGCUCCACCGCGCUAAUGUGUGCGUGUGAACAUGGCCACAGCGACAUCGUCAAACUACUGCUGGCUCACCCCAGCUGCGACGCCACCUUAACCGACAACGAUGGGAGCACCGCCCUCACAAUAGCCAUGGAAGCAAGUCACCGAGAUAUUGGUGUUAUUUUAUAUGCUCACCUUAAUUUUGCUAAAGGACCUACCUCUCCUGGGAUAGCAAGAAAAAGACGCACCUCCAGCUCUCCCACUCCCAGUAUAUAACAUCGUGUGGUGUAUCGAGUAUGUAUGACAGAACUUCAUCCUUCACUGUACUACUCUCUACUAGUCAAGCUUGUCCGUAUAAUUCGAUAAACAAAGUCCAAGAAACUUUGCUGUGAUGUUGGUAUCAGAAGACUUGCCAGUCAUAAGGACAUCCAAAAAUACAUAGUGCACAAGUCUUGACAGUGUUUCACUUAAUUGUGGAGAGAAAACAAUCUGUAUUAAAACUAUUACAAGUUUUCUUAUUCUAGUAACUGUGCCAUUAUGUACAAUUCUGUUUUCUUGGAGACUUAAAGGAUAUUUUAAACAUAUUAAGAAUGUGCAGUUUAUUUUAUCUUUUACUAUUUAAGUAAUUCUUAGAUUAUGAAACAUUGCAGGUCUUGUGAAUAUUUUAGGUUUUACUUUUGACAUAAUUUUGCUUUAAGUAUGUGUAAAGAAUCCAAGAUAAACCUGUAAUAUGUAUACCAUAUUAUAGAAAAUCCUAGCUGUAUGAUUUGUUUUAAAAGUUUUAUUUCCAUUUGUUCAAUUACAAGAUCUGUUUUACUGAUAAAGCUUACAGCGUUGACAUUGAUAAUUUGCUAGAUGAUGCAUCACAAUGUAGAUGAUAGCUUUGACAUAGAAAAAUUAUUAGAUGGAUAUUUUGGUUAGUACACAUCAUUAAUUUUGCCUUUUCAAAAGCCACAAUAAUGGCCAUAUUAGCACUUAAAAUAUAAUUUUGUUACAAUGGAAAUAAAUAUUUAAGAAAAGUGUAACUUCUAUGCAUACUUUUUUUUUUGGUUACCUUGCUAUGAUGUAUAACAAUAUAUCAGCUACCUCAGAUGUAAUAAGUCUACUUGUACCUUCAUGUACUAUGAAUAUUCAUGAUGUCCGAUACCUAUAUCUCUACUGUAUAUAUAUAUAUAUAUAUAUGUGUAUGUAUUUACUUUGCUUCAUAUACCAAACCUGUCUUUACUGGCAUAGUGCAUUGAGUAUCAAUGUAUUCUUUCUGUGUUUAUUAUACAUACAUGUAUUUGUAAAUAGAAUUUUAUCUCGGAAAGACAACUUACUCUACUUGCAUUGUACAUGUAUUAAAGAUAUAAUCUUGCUUGGUUGGUUGGUUUAAUUAGAUUAUAAUUGUCCCAGUUUAUUCCCCUAGAUACAAUAUGUGUAUAUUAAUACAUGCUGUAUAUUUGACUAUAUAUGUAUAUUCUUCACCAGUACAAAAGCGUGAUGUACAUAUACUACAGUAACUGUAAAUAUGUAAAUAUUCACAGGCAGCAAAAUCUGUAUCAUUAACAUGUAUUUCUGACUCUUGAAACACUGUUAAAUAUAUAUAUGUGGCUGAUAAUGUUUUGGGCAGAAAUAUAUUUAUGAAUAUUUUGUUUUACAAAAGAAGGUGAAAUGUUGCUCCUGAUGAAUAUUUCCAUCUUUACUGUAUUUUACUUCUGGUGAGUGGUCUGGCAAUUGCAUAAGUAUAAACCAGCCUUCAAUAUGUAAAUACAAUAUUACAUUAUGUGUAAACUACAUUUGAAAUAAGCUCUGUAAGUAGAUUGAACUGUAUUAAACGUGUCUUGUCUAAUCCCAGUGAUCUAUGCCUCAAAUACUAAAGCGUUUUGUAUUUGCUCAUCUCAGUUGCAUUUUUGUUUCAUAGGCAAAAACUAAGAACCGAUUCUGUUGUAUUUUUCUAUACCUUGUUCAGGGAUGGUUACAGUAUCAAGAUAUCUUGGAUAUCAGUCCUGGAUCAGUCCUGGAUCAGUCCGAGCUAAUUUUGUUGUGUUCAGGUUUCUUGAUUUUGCUUAGAACUUCGAACUGAUUCAGUUGUGUUUCUGGUACUUUGUCUAGAUCUUGCCUACAAUUAUGCUUAUUUGAUUCUAUUGCUUUGGUAGAUUUCGUAUCGGACUGUUCAUAACUGGUUCUGUUGUACCAUUAAAUUGUCCACACAUAGGAGAACUGAAUCAUUCACGGGACAAACAAGAACAGAUUCAGUUAUAAUUUGGUACUUUGUCUAUAUCAUGCCUUGAACUGUUCACAACUGAUGCUGUUGUUCUGGGGCCUAAUUCACAAAGCUCUCUUGGGCUCUGCUAGACAACAAAGCAUCCUCUUUGCAAGUCUUUUAGCAUUGCACUGCGAUAUCACAAAGUUGCAAGAGUUUAGUGAAUUAGGCCCCUGGUACGUUGUUCAUAGGGCUGUUCAUAACCGUCUCUGAUGUUCCAGUACUGUGUUAGUAUCAUAUAGACCUAGGACAGACGAGAACCAAUUAUGUUGUGUUUUUGUAACUUUGUGUGCGUUUUGUCUAGGAUUGUCCAGAAUAUAUCCCAUUAUGAUUCUAGAUCUUAAUUGUCUGGGACUGUUCCAAACUGACUGUAUUCUGUUCUCAAGGAAAUCUCUGGAUUUUUGUCGUAGACAUUUAAGACACGGAAUCUCUUUGGUUUUGCUUAAGACAAUGCCAUGUGAUAUGAGUACCUCAUAUGAGAAUUGCCGAUUGCAUUGUAAUGUUGUCUUGUCACAAUCGGGCAGGGCUAGCCUUGGGUUGGUAUUUUUGUUUGUCUAUUCUUGUAUGAGAUCUACGUAUCUUUACAAUAGCUUGUCCACAUCUUUCCUAAUCUAUAGCUAAUGAAUGUCCUUGAGUCCAGCCACAAAGGUUUCUCUUGAUAUAUAUGUUCAAAUAACAGGUUUAUCAGCCUCUAAACCAAGACCUUUGAAAAUAAGAUUAAUCCUCUGUCAGGGCAGUAAUGCUGAGGAAACAUAUUUUAUUUUCAUGUUGUUGAAUAUUGCUGCCAAAUCUUGAAGUUGAGAUCCUGUUAUUGUUCUGUAACUAAACAACUUGGUGCUAUUAAUUAUAAUAUCCUGUCAUAUAGUCUGUAUAUAGUCAUUAAUACACUACAACUUUGGUCAAAUGCAAGGGAUUACUGUUCAUUCAGUUGUGAAUAUAUCUGGAAAAUAAAUGUAAAGUUUGAAUUUGCUUGAAUACUUAUGGAACAUGUUACUGCAUGCAUUUUGAAAAAUAUGUACAAGGUAUGUGCACAGGACCAUGAAUUGAAUAUAUAUAAAAAAAUUAGUUAUAUCAAAUCACAGGUGUUGGAUCACUUUAAACUGAAAAUAAAUAGUGCUGUGAAUUUCAGACCUAAUAAUAUAUUUUUAGUGAUAUAAAGUCUCUUUUAUUCAACAAUAAUCCUAAAGUAUUUACUCAACCUAAGAAUUUUAAAUACAGUAUAUUAUUAUUUAAAGAUACUUUUAUGUCUGUAAUCAAGUUAAUGUACUGAAUUAUAUACCUGGUGAAGGAUAUAUAAUAAUUAACAUAUCUGACCCACCAUUGUACACAACCUCUAUAUUACUGGUACAUCUGUCAUUGAGCACCCAGUUUUGAAAAACAUUUUGCCAGGUUUACUAACUACAUGUUCUUAUCUUUAAGUACUUUUUUGUCUUGCCUUUACUAAAUAUCAAAGCAAGAUAUGACUAUUACUUUCCAGCUACGGCAGUGAUGAUGAUGUCAACUUUUAUGUUUUAAGUUUAAUUUUUAGAUCAUUUAUCACAAACUAUAAGUCCUAUGUCCAUGAAACGCUUCACCUAUGGAUGUUCUUCUUGGUGCAUUGGAUGUUUUUAUUAUUUGCAGAAUUCUUGUUUUCAGGUACUCAGUGUUUAUGCUUUAACUAUUUUAAAGAGCUGGAAAACGAAGCAAUCAAAAUUUGUUUUUUUGUAUUAGAGGAUCUUUUGUUUUAGCAGUUUAAUGCCUAGUAUUGGUAUCAAUAUGCUUAUAAGUAAUACCUUGGUACCAAUUUCAAGAGAUAAUGAAAAUGGUUUCAGUUAAAGGACUCAAAAUUAUUAAAAUCAUAAAUACAUGUAGCUCUUUAAAACCAGAAGAAUAGGAUUUGAGAAGCAAAAAACAAAAAUAAUGUCUUCUUUUCUUAUAAGAUAUAGAAAGAUGAUUUAGGGCUAUUACGCAUAGAAUAAUGCAUUUUUUACUGUUUUUACAAAUAUAAGUUGUAGGUGAGUUGAAAAUGCAGAUGUAAUGAUACACUUGGUGAAAUUAUUUUAAAUUCUAAACACAAAAGAAAACAAUUUUUUAUUAAGUCAAAAGAUAAAUUCCGUGUAAAUCUACAGUGUUUAGUUUUAUUUUAUUUAUUGUUUUUAAUGAGGUGAAAACAACAAUGAGCAUAGUAUGUAUGACAAUUGUUUUUAAAUAGUUGAGGAUGUGACAAAAAUGCACAAACAUUAAACGUUUUAUUUAUAAAGCUUUUUUAAAUGAACUGAUUUUUUUAAAAAUAAUUUAAAAAAAUUUGUAAUGAAUAAAUGCACUUUAAAAAAUUAAAAUAAACAUUUAUGCUGUUGAAGUUUCCAGUGGUCUAGAAUAUAAACUGUUGUGCCUGGUCACGAAAUUCAAUUAUUGACUGUUGUUGUGUUAAAUCUGCAUCUUAACAGUCUGUCUACCUGCCAUUCGAUCUUAGACACUUUUGUUUAAAGUGGAAUUUUAAAACGAAAUAUUUAUGUAGGUCUGUGAAAUACACAAAUAAUUAGAAGAGACUUUGGUGCUCCCACUAUACCAUUAAGAGUGUAUAUUUCAGGUAUUUGUGUACUAUUUUAUAUAUCCAAGUGUUAAUAGUGUAUUAUAUUGUAACUGGCUUCAGAUACAGAUUGCAUUUAACUGUAAGAAACAUAAAAAGUAGUUGAAUAUUUGUACAGUACAUUGUAUACUAGUAAUAACACGGUUGUGACAAGUGUUCUUGUGUAGUGUGUAUCACAGUUUUGUUUUUAAACCUUUCUGUAGCUUUUAGACACAUAACAUGUACAAGAAUGUAAAGUUAAACAAAUGAACAGUUAAAUGUCAGUUUGACUAAAGAAACUUCUGUGUAUAUAUAUUUGAAAGGACCCGAGAUUAAAGUAGUAGGUUGUGUUUUUUUUUAUGUUUAUGAUUUAAUUUUUCAUGGACUUUUAUUUUGUCUGUUUUAUGCCAGAAUAAUUUUACAUCAAGGUUUUACUAAUGUAAAUUUGCAUACAGUUUUGUUUUACUCCUGAUUUUAGACUGCAUGGAAAUAAUACAUUCCGUGUGGUUUAUUGUCAUUCAUUUUGUGUCAAGGCAGCAGGAAUUGUUGAUCCCUUACUUGUCUUUCUUCUUUCAUGAUGAGAGGACUUGAUUUGUGUUGUCAAGGUCAGUUGUUGUUUUUAGUACCGGUAAUGCAGGUUGCUAAAAUACACGUAAUGCAUUCCAGUGACGUGUGUUUAAAUAUAGAAGUUCCUGGUUACUGUCUAUACAAGUUAAUACAGUCAAACCCACUUAUUAUAAUGGGCACACGAGGGAACGUUAAAAACUGCCCUUUAUGAUCAGGUGGCUUCUAUAUACGACAUAAAAUAUCUUCAGUUGUUUGUGUAAGAUAUGUGAAGUGAACUUUAUAGACAGGUAGUUGUUACACAAGGUGACUAUUAUUACAGGUUUGAGUGUAAUUAAAUGUGAGUAAAGUUAAUAGCAUUUCUGUACAUCUCUGUUCCUGGUACGGUACUCUUUUUUUUGUUUUUGAUUGCAAGGUUUAAAUGAGUGUAAACUAGGUGUGUCAGUGAAAACAUGAUUAUAUCUGUGACAUUAUUAUUAUUUGAUAAAGCUUUAACAAAAAUAAUCUUAGUACCCAAUUGUGUAUGAAGCUGUGUUCCUAGGUUGUAGUGACACCGACUCCAAUCCAGUAAGAUUGCUCAGCUUAGUAAGACCAAGACCAACUUCUCUCACUAACCAUAAACCACUAUCGGGGUUAGCUCUGGCAUUCACCAAAUUCGCCAACUACGAAUUAAAAAACAAAUUGUCAAAUUUCAUUUUAAUUUGGCAAAUAAAUUUCAUGUGAUAAUUGUUAUUUUAUUAGAAAAUAAUUGGGGCUUUCAAAUUUUUAAAGUUUAAAUAGAUGAUUUUGUGAAUUUUUCUGCUCACCCAGAGCUGUCCCUGAAACAUUAAUCUCUUUUCUGGACAAACAACUCAAAUAGCUGAUAUGUGUGCCCAGGAUAGUGUGCAUGAACCAUAAUUAGAUGUAAGCAAAAAAAGGAGAGACUAAAAUGUAAUAUGCUGAUUUUAAACAUGCAUCUUCCAGACUAAUUUAUCAAAUUCAGCAGAUUGGUGUACACAAUCAAUUUAUAAUAUGCCAACAGAUAUAGAUGUUUUCAUUGUUUACAUUGGGUUUUGAACAACACCUAAAUGAAAAAAAAAAAUGUACUGCACAAAAUAUACGUAUCACCAGUAUAUGGCAAUAAAGGCUUACCAUUAUUUACCA